rnacentral:rRNA from 1 species
GACGAGGGGUCCUAGCGUUGUUCGGAAUCACUGGGCGUAAAGCGUUUGUAGGCGGCUCUAUAAGUCGGGUGUGAAAUCCCACGGCUCAACCGUGGAAGUGCAUUCGAAACUGCAGAGCUUGAAUAUGGAAGAGGAGAGUAGGAUUCCUGGUGUAGUGGUGAAAUACGUAGAUAUCAGGAGGAAUACCGGUGGCGAAGGCGACUCUCUGGUCCAAUAUUGACGCUGAGAAACGAAAGUGCGGGGAUCAAACAGG